rnacentral:rRNA from 1 species
AAAGCGUGCGCAGGCGGUUAUGUAAGACAGUUGUGAAAUCCCCGGGCUCAACCUGGGAACCGCAUCUGUGACUGCAUAGCUAGAGUACGGUAGAGGGGGAUGGAAUUCCGCGUGUAGCAGUGAAAUGCGUAGAUAUGCGGAGGAACACCGAUGGCGAAGGCAAUCCCCUGGACCUGUACUGACGCUCAUGCACGAAAGCGUGGGGAGCAAACAGGAUUAGAUACCCGAGU